rnacentral:misc_RNA from 1 species
GGACAAUAGACAUACCAGACCCCCCAGCUCCUCCAUACUUUUCCAGUUCCAAUAAUGACACUACUGGCACAUAAUUUGCCAAGACCUGAGGGCUACAAGACCCUUCCGUUGGGUUUUCAUUUUUGAAUCUUUCCUUGUGUAUAUUAGUUUUGAGUGGUUGAAUUUCCUUAAGGAUGGAGGGAGUAUAUAGUUAGCAAGCUUAAGUGAAAAAGAACAUUAUAAUCCAUUCUUGAUUCUUCAACCGAAAUUAAAAAUGUA